rnacentral:rRNA from 1 species
UAGGGAAUCUUCCGCAAUGGACGCAAGUCUGACGGAGCAACGCCGCGUGAGUGAAGAAGGAUUUCGGUUCGUAAAACUCUGUUGUUAGAGAAGAACAGCGCAUAGAGUAACUGUUAUGCGUGUGACGGUAUCUAACCAGAAAGCCACGGCUAACUACGUGCCAGCAGCCGCGGUAAUACGUAGGUGGCAAGCGUUGUCCGGAUUUAUUGGGCGUAAAGCGAGCGCAGGCGGUCAAUUAAGUCUGAUGUGAAAGCCCCCGGCUCAACCGGGGAGGGUCAUUGGAAACUGGUUGACUUGAGUGCAGAAGAGGAGAGUGGAAUUCCAUGUGUAGCGGUGAAAUGCGUAGAUAUAUGGAGGAACACCAGUGGCGAAGGCGACUUACUGGGCUCAUUCUGACGCUGAGGAACGAAAGCGUGGGUAGCAAACAGG